CAGAGGUCCCGAGCGUUGUUCGGAUUCACUGGGCGUAAAGGGUGCGUAGGUGGUGAGGUAAGUCGGAUGCGAAAUCUCCGGGCUCAACCCGGAAAUGGCAUUGGAAACUACCUUGCUGGAGGAUUUGAGGGGGGAUUGGAAUACUUGGUGUAGCAGUGAAAUGCGUAGAUAUCAAGUGGAACGCCAGUGGCGAAGGCGAAUCCCUGGAAAAUACCUGACACUGAGGCACGAAAGCUAGGGGAGCAAACAGGAUUAGAUACCCUGGUAGUCCUAGCCCUAAACGGUGCUUGCUUGCUGUAAGAGGAAUCGACCCCUCUUGUGGCGGAGCUAACGCGUUAAGCAAGCCGCCUGGGAAGUACGGUCGCAAGAUUA
rnacentral:rRNA from 1 species